GCGUUCACGUUAGGAUCACACAAUCAAUUAUCUCCUGAAUGUAUCGUCUCUAUUUCCAAUAUCUGAACACACAAGAAAACUAUAAUCUCCUCCUUCACCUUAUCGGUCUCUUCUUUACAGCAAUUCAGUCAUACCAAUAACUGCUAUUUCUACCAAUAUAUUCACCCUUAUAAUCUCCAACUAUAAUACUCUGCCCUCACAGCUUUCAGCACACAAUUAUCCUCGUUCCAAUCUCUGGAAUUCUUCACACAGAACUACCAUUCACAUUACAGUGUUUCACACAAACACAGAUUCAUUCUCUCUGCUGAAUUACAAUCAAAUUUCAGCAUUGAAUCUUUCUUUUUCUCAAAUAAUACCAAUCACAUUUCCAUUCCAUAAUUCACUUCACAAUAUUCAAAAACUUUCAAUUCUCUUAUUCAAAGAAAAUAACAAAUAAAAGAAAAGAAGUAGCAUCAAGCUUACCCUGGCUCACAACUCUCACAGUCUGGCAUUUUCUUCCCCUCUCCCAUCUUUCUUAUACUACUCCAAGAUACCAAUUCAUAUACUACAGAUGAUAACUACUUUUCUUGACUAUUCAUCCAUUCUACCUGCUGAACCACUUUUUCAACAGUUAUCUAUCCCUGUUUACUCUAUACACUAGGUAUCUACAUUCUGAAAAUAACUACUUAUUCUACAUAGCCCCACUCCUAAUUGUGCAGCGUCCUUGCAAACACUCAAUUGAUACCUAUCUA
rnacentral:lncRNA from 1 species